rnacentral:rRNA from 1 species
UCCUGGCUCAGAUUGAACGCUGGCGGCAUGCCUUACACAUGCAAGUCGAACGGCAGCGCGGGGCAACCUGGCGGCGAGUGGCGAACGGGUGAGUAAUAUAUCGGAACAUACCCUAGAGUGGGGGAUAACGUAGCGAAAGUUACGCUAAUACCGCAUACGCACUAAGGUGGAAAGUGGGGGGAUCUUCGGACCUCAUGCUCAUGGAGUGGCCGAUAUCUGAUUAGCUAGUUGGUGAGGUAAAGGCUCACCAAGGCGACGAUCAGUAGCUGGUUUGAGAGAACGACCAGCCACACUGGAACUGAGACACGGUCCAGACUCCUACGGGAGGCAGCAGUGGGGAAUUUUGGACAAUGGGGGCAACCCUGAUCCAGCAAUGCCGCGUGAGUGAAGAAGGCCUUCGGGUUGUAAAGCUCUUUUGUCAGGGAAGAAACGGUGAGUUCUAAUAAAGCUUGCUAAUGACGGUACCUGAAGAAUAAGCACCGGCUAACUACGUG